UAAGACAACUGACAUAUAAUCUGUACUCCAUAUUUACACAACAAUAGUAUAGGAGUGUUGAGCACCUAAAGUACUUUUAGCAUUUAUCAAAAAAAAAAUACACAAUUAAAAGAAAAUCAGGAAAUGAAUAAAAAUAUUCACAAUCUUAUCUCCACCACGCUAUAAAAAUAGAAGGCCAUGGCCUUAAAAGAAGUUCAUCCUCAAACGCAUAAUACGAUAUUUAGAGAGAGAGAGGGUUCUCUUUCUGAUAUUAGUUACUCCAAGAUUUGGAGAGUAUAUAUGAAGAAUACGAUAAUAAUGUGGCGUUUUCGUCUGAAAGAUUGAAGAUCUUUUCAGGAAUAUAUAGAUGCAGACUCCGAUAAGAGCCUGCACCACAUGAAGUGUUCAUGGAAUACUCAUUUGAGCAAGAUAACAGAAGUCACUUGUAUUUUAUAAGGUCAAGAAGAUUGUAUGGCUUGGCAGCCUCGUCUUCGGACCUUCAUCACCCGUUAGAGGUUGAUGCUUUUUCUAUUAAUUACAGAACUCAUACUCAACAUGCUAUUCAAAUAAAGUUCUAAGAAUUUGACAUUAUGUAAACCUAAUUAGAGUAUUGAUAGUUUCCAAGUAAAACAAAAUAAAGUAUUUAGUGCCCAAAAGCACAAUAUACUUUAGUUAGUCUGAUCAGUUACGUCAAUAUUGUUAUCAUAGAUAGAAAUAAAAAUGCGUAAUCAUGAAAAAUUCCUGAAUAUAUAUACAUAUCAAUGUGCAAUGUUUUACACCA